GGGAACUCAGAAGGAGGAGGCUGG
rnacentral:piRNA from 1 species